GAACGCAAAUUGCACUCGAGGCUCCGGCCGAGAGUAUGUCUGCCUCAGCGUCGGCUUCACCCUCACCCCUCCUCACCGGGGGGCGUGGACCUGGCCGUCCCGGCCAUUGCGACCGGGUCUGCCGAAGAACAGAGGCUCGAACGAGGACCCAAUCGGGACAACAGUCUGGUAGGUGACCCGCGAGGGAUCGCAUGCCGCUGUCGGCCCGGGACCUGGUUGUAAGCCGGCAGGAAUCGCCGGUCGACCUUUUCUGACCGAAAGGCAACCGCGCGACACACCCUUUUCGACCUGAGUUCAGGCAAGAACACCCGCUGAACUUAAG
rnacentral:misc_RNA from 1 species